rnacentral:rRNA from 1 species
AGAGUUUGAUCCUGGCUCAGGACGAACGCUGGCGGCGUGCUUAACACAUGCAAGUCGAGCGAGGAGCUUGCUCCUAGCGGCGAACGGGUGAGUAACACGUGGGCAACCUGCCCCUAGCUCUGGGAUAAGCCCGGGAAACUGGGUCUAAUACCGGAUACGACUUCCGAGGACAUCCUCUGGGAGUGGAAAGAACUUCGGCUAGGGAUGGGCCCGCGGCCUAUCAGCUUGUUGGUGGGGUAACGGCCCACCAAGGCGACGACGGGUAGCCGGCCUGAGAGGGCGACCGGCCACACUGGGACUGAGACACGGCCCAGACUCCUACGGGAGGCAGCAGUGGGGAAUAUUGCGCAAUGGGCGAAAGCCUGACGCAGCGACGCCGCGUGAGGGAUGAAGGCCUUCGGGUUGUAAACCUCUUUCAGCAGGGGCGAAGCGAAAGUGACGGUACCCGCAGAAGAAGCACCGGCCAACUACGUGCCAGCAGCCGCGGUAAUACGUAGGGUGCAAGCGUUGUCCGGAAUUAUUGGGCGUAGAGAGCUCGUAGGCGGUCUGUCGCGUCGGCUGUGAAAACCUGGGGCUCAACUCCCGGGCCUGCAGCCGAUACGGGCAGACUAGAGUUCGGUAGGGGAGACUGGAAUGCCUGGUGUAUCGGUGAAAUGCGCAGAUAUCAGGAGGAACACCGGUGGCGAAGGCUGGUUUCUGGGGCCGAUACUGACGCUGAGGACCNAAAGCGUGAGGAGCAACCAUG